rnacentral:lncRNA from 1 species
GGCACGUGACAGGAACUGUGUGGUGGGCGGGGCUGUUUGUGUCCUGGAUUUCACUACCCGGGGUUGCGCCUCCAGCACCUAGGAGGAAAGAACACUUUCUCCUCGCCAAUGGGCGCUCGGAUGCUUGCGGACAUGACUGAUCGCGCCGCGUACCGCCGGCACACAGUGGAUGGCGCUGCCCAAAACCUACCGGGACUGUCCCUGCCGCGAGUCCACUCGGAACACCAGCUCUGCAGCCUCGGAGCCCAGUGAGCCAAACCUAGCUGGAACCCGAUAGAUAAUUCCUGUCAGCACCCAGGGCAGAGAAUCCGGAGGUUAGCAAAGAGGAAGAAGUGGGUGGUGAAAGGAAGCGAGUUGACUUGACAGCUGUCCAAGGGGAAGGACAUUUCUAAAGCAGAUAAAGGCAACCUGCCAUAAGGAGUGUAGAAAGAGCGAUAAGGAGAGGCAUGGUCAGCGUCUGCUGUGUUCCCUUGAUAAAUAAAGUACAGUAAUCUUUCUCCU